AAGUCGUAACAAGGUUUCCGUAGGUGAACCUGCGGAAGGAUCAUUAAUGAAUUUAAUUGACGGGGUUGUCGCUGGCCUUCACGGGCAUGUGCACGCCUUGUUCAAAUUCAUCCAUACACCUCUGUGCACUCUUCAUGGAUUGGCUUAGUUAAAAGGGCUGUCUUUGGACAGCCUGGGCCGUUCUAUGCAUAUUAUACAAACAUCUGUCUUUGAAUGUCUCUAUUGCGAAACAUAACGCAUUUAAAUACAACUUUCAGCAACGGAUCUCUUGGCUCUC
rnacentral:misc_RNA from 1 species